AUGGCGGGACGGGCGGGAGGGCGGGAGCUGCCGGACACGCCGACGUGGGCGGUGGCGCUCGUCUGCACCGUCAUGAUACUCGUCUCCGUCGCCGUGGAGCACGCCCUCCACAAGCUCGGCCACUGGUUCCGCAAGCGCCACAAGAAGGCCCUGGGGGAGGCGCUGGAGAAGAUGAAGGCGGAGCUCAUGCUGGUGGGCUUCAUCUCCCUGCUCCUCACCGUGGCGCAGACGCCCAUCUCCAGGAUAUGCAUCUCCAAGGAGGCCGGCAUGAGGAUGCUCCCUUGCAAGCUUAACGACGGCGCCGGCGGUGGUGGCCACGGCAAGGACAAGUGGACAACCACCGGAGGCUUCUAUGGCUCCAAGGCGAGACACCGCCGGUUCCUGGCCGCCCCAGCCGGAGAGGACGUCUGCGCGGAACAGGGCAAGGUGGCGCUGAUGUCGGCGGGGAGCAUGCACCAGCUGCAUAUAUUCAUCUUCGUGCUCGCCGUCUUCCACGUCUUGUACAGCGUCGUCACCAUGGCUCUCAGCCGUCUCAAAAUGAAGAAAUGGAAGAAGUGGGAGUCGGAGACCACCUCGCUGGAGUAUCAGUUCGCGAAUGAUCCGUCGCGGUGCCGGUUCACGCACCAGACGACGUUCGUGAAGCGGCACCUGGGACUCUCCAGCACCCCCGGAGUCAGAUGGAUCGUGGCUUUCUUCAGGCAGUUCUUCACGUCAGUCACCAAGGUGGACUACCUCACCUUGCGGCAGGGCUUCAUCAAUGCACAUUUGUCGCACAACAGCAGGUUCGACUUCCACAAGUACAUCAAGAGAUCAAUGCAGGACGACUUCAAGGUUGUCGUCGGUAUCAGCCUCAAGCUCUGGUUCGUGGCGGUCCUUACCCUCUUCCUUAAUAUCAACGGGAUCGGCACGCUCCUCUGGAUCUCUUUCUCCCCACUCGUCAUCCUCUUGUGGGUUGGAACCAAGCUAGAGAUGGUGAUCAUGGAGAUGGCACUGGAGAUCCAGGACCGGACAAGCGUCGUCAAGGGUGCUCCCGUCGUCGAGCCGAGCAACAAGUACUUCUGGUUCAACCGUCCUGACUGGGUCCUCUUCCUCAUACACCUCACACUCUUCCAGAAUGCGUUUCAGAUGGCACAUUUCGUGUGGACAGUGGCCACGCCUGGCUUGAAGAGAUGCUACCAUGAGAAUAUGGGAGUGAGCAUCGCCAAGGUGGUGCUCGGGGUAGCUGCCCAGAUCAUGUGCAGCUACAUCACCUUCCCACUCUACGCGCUCGUCACACAGAUGGGCUCACACAUGAAGAGAACCAUCUUCAACGAGCAGACAGCCAGGGCGCUGUCCAACUGGCGAAAGAUAGCAAAGGAGAAGAAGAAGGCCCGGGACGCGGACCUGCUGAGGGUGCAGAUGAGUCAAGGCUCGUCGCCGGUGCACCUGCUCCACAAGGCAGAGGUGCGGUCCGACGAUCCUCGGAGCCCCACGAGGGCCGAGAACGAGGGCGGUGACAUGCAGCAUCGGGCUGUGGCGCAUCCGGUGCAUAGGGUACAUCCUUGUGACGGUUGGAGGUCGGCCUCGUCGCCGGCCCUCGAUGCUCACAUCCCCAUUGCAGAUUUUUGCUUCACGACGCAACGUUGA
rnacentral:rRNA from 1 species